rfam:Salmo salar isolate Sally breed double haploid chromosome ssa14, whole genome shotgun sequence.
UUCACUCACUUCUAUAAGUCUCUCUGGAUAAGAGCGUCUGCUAAAUGACGUAAA